GAAGCAAUGGCAUUUGGUCUUCCUGUGCUGGGAACAGAUGCUGGAGGCACAAAGGAGAUUGUUGAACAUAACGUAACAGGUCUUCUUCAUUCUUUGGGACGUCCAGGCACUCAAGUCCUCGCCCAAAAUCUCCAGUAUUUGCUGAACAAUCCCUCGGAAAGGCAACGAUUGGGAAGCAAUGGAAGAAAGAAAGUAAAGGAUAUGUACCUAAAGAAGCACAUGUACAGGAGAUUCGGAGAAGUACUAUACGACUGCAUGAGAAUAAAAUAAGAUCGAAUGCAGACCAUUUUUUUCUGUUUAAACAUUUUUCCUGUAUUGCUGUAAGCUCUUCCCUUAGAAAACACAGAUCAAGAAUCAGUC
rnacentral:misc_RNA from 1 species